rnacentral:lncRNA from 1 species
AAGUAUCUGAGAUCUACAUCUAGAUCUGCUAGCAGCAGGAAGAGGACGCUACUGGGCUUGGCUUGGGCUCUUGAAAUCUCAAAUCUGUGGCACACUUCCUCCAACAAGAACACCCCUACCCCAACAAGGACACGCUUCCUAAUACUUCUAAGUAGUGCCACUCCUGAUGAUUCAGUAUUCAAAUAUAUGAGCCUUGAGGACCCAUUUUUAUUCAAACUAGCACAUUCCCCUCCCUGGAAUCCAUAGGCUUGUAGCCAUAUCAUAGUGCAAAAAAAAAAAAAAGAAAAAAGUGUAUUCAAUUGAACUUUAAAGAUCUUCAGUCUUUCAGUCUCAAGACUGCUUAAAGUCUAAAGUCUCUUCUGAGACCCAAGGAAAUCUCUUAACAAUAAAACCCUAUAAAAUCGAACUCAAAAAGCAGAUCCCAUACUUGAAACAUACAAUGACACAGAAUAUACAUUGCCAAUCUAAAAGGGAAGAAAGGAUCAUAGUAGGAAACACUGGAUCAAAACAAGAUCAAAAAAUACUUAGCAAAGGCCAAACUCUGCAUCUCAUGUCUGACAUCAAAGCACUCCUCAGAUCUCCAAUUCCUUUCAGCUUUGUUGACUACAACACACUUCUCUCUCAGGCUAAGUCCAGACCAGAUCUACAGCUUUCCUCACCAAGUAUCCCAUGACCCCUCCAUCACCAGCAUCUUGGAGUCUCCAACACCAUCUAGGCUUUACCUUCACAGCUUCACACAGUGACCUCUCUGGGCCUCCAUGCACAGACACACACCCUUGGCAUGGACGCAGCCUCAACAGUCUCCUCAGCUUGGAAGGAAGAUUCCACAACCCCUUCCUUGUAUCCUUGAUGCUAAAUCCAGAAUAAUGUGGCCAAAGCUGCCAAGUUUCUCUGCCUACUACAGCUGACACUUGACCCCUUCUUACAAAUACAUUUUCAGCUUUCUAUCAAAGUUUCCAUUGAAAAAUCAGCAGGAUCUAAUGGAUUUUCCUUUAUAAAUGACUUAUUUUUUCUCUUGAAGCUUUCAAUACACUUUAUUAUGUAUGCUUAGUGUUUUAACUAUGAUAUGCUGUGGAGAUGUUCAUUUCUGGUCUUGUCUGUUUGGUGCUCUGUGUGCUUCUUAUAUAUGUCUGGUUGUGUCUUUCCUUAGUUUGAGGAAGUUGUUUUCUGUGACCUUGUUGAAGAUCCAGCCUAUGCCUUUGAUAGAUCUCCCUUACCAACAACCCCUGUAAUUCAAAGGUUUGGUCUUCUCAUGGUGUGUUACAUUUCCUGUAUGUUUUUCUUUCCAGUGUGCUUAAAGUUUUCCAUAUCCCUGGUUUAUUUUGUCUAACUCCUACUUUUCUUCAAACUGUGAUAUUCUGUCUUCUGCUUGAUUCGUUUUACUCGCAAGGUUUUCCUUUGAGUUGCCUAGUUGGGCCAUUGGGUCUUUCAGUGGCAUCUUCAUUUCAGAUGACUCCUCUUCUAUGCUUCUCUUGAUGGAUCCUGUUCCUAAGUCCUGUCUUCAUCAUGGCCUUCAGCUUUAUGCUUGUGUUUUCUUGGGUAUCAUUCAGGCAUUUAGUCUAAGCUCUCUCUCUUUAAUUUCAUUGAGCUGUUUCUGUGUGUCUUCUUUGAAUUUGAAUUUUUUGUUAAAAUUCAUGAAUGUUCUUUUAAAUUCUGUGUCAUGGGCCUCAUCCAGGUAAUUGUCAUCAGAUAUUUCUGCAGGACUGGUGGAUUUGGGGAGUAAAUACUGUCUUUAUCUUUCUUCUUGUCUGUAUUUUUGCAAUGAGAUCUGGAUAUAUGUGCUUCUUUUAUUCUGUGUCUGAUUUAGAGAGAGUAGAUUGAGGCAGAAUACAGGAUAUGUAUGUCAGGUUGGACCUAGAGGUUGGAUAUGACUGGGUAAAAUAAAGUCUGAUGGAUGCAUGGGACUGGGAUGGUGUACAGAAUGUAUAUCUUGGUCCAAGUCUGGAGUGUGAGAUGUAGAUCUUGCUAAUUCUAGAAGUUGAAUUUGUCAUUGGAGGGGCCUGUGGGUUGAGGGUAGGGAUGGAGUGUCCUGGUGGAAGCUUGGAAAUUGAUAGAGACACUUUCAGGGUGACUAGAGUAUGCUGGGGCACUGCAUGUGAAGCCUAGUCUAGAUCUUGAGGUAGAGAAAGGUUCUUGGAGGAAAGGUCCAUACAGGCUCCCCUAGCUAAUACCUAUGGAAGAACAUGCAGGAUCUGCCAAGAGCCAUUUUUAAUCUACAUGGAAAAAUAAAUUCUACAUCUUUCCAGGAAGGCCUUCAAAUAUCAGGCUACCAUUUUGUUUUUAUUAUUUGUCUGUCUCAGAUGCUUGGGUAGAAGGUUUGGUAUCCAGUCUUUCCUAGCUCCUUCCCUGAUCCUAGUAAGCUGGUCCACCUGUCCUCAGAGGGAAGGGAUGCCCUUGAAUCCCAAGUUUCCAUAAAGAAGUGAAUAAAGGCAUGAAUAUUAAUCAUUUUACAUCUGUUAAAAGAUGUGAAAACAGCAUAAGUGUGUUCACUUAACCUUCUCUAGAUACCUUAUAAUCCUCCCCCUCCCCUCCC